UACGGAGGAUGCGAGCGUUAUCCGGAUUUAUUGGGUUUAAAGGGUGCGUAGGCGGGCUUUUAAGUCAGCGGUAAAAAUUCGGGGCUCAACCCCGUCCGGCCGUUGAAACUGGGGGUCUUGAGUGGGCGAGAAGAAGGCGGAAUGCGUGGUGUAGCGGUGAAAUGCAUAGAUAUCACGCAGAACCCCGAUUGCGAAGGCAGCCUUCCGGCGCCCUACUGACGCUGAGGCACGAAAGUGCGGGGAUCGAACUGG
rnacentral:rRNA from 1 species